rnacentral:rRNA from 1 species
CGCGUAGGCGGUCCGACCAGUCAGGUGUGAAAUCCCUCGGCUCAACCGAGGAACUGCGCUUGAUACUAUCGGGCUGGAGUGCAGAAGGGGAGAGUGGAAUUCCCGGUGUAGCGGUGAAAUGCGUAGAUAUCGGGAAGAACGCCGGUGGCGAAAGCGGCUCUCUGGUCUGUAACUGACGCUGAGGCGCGAAAGCUAGGGGAGCAAACAGGAUUAGAUACCCUGGUAGUCCUAGCCGUAAACGAUGUGCACUAAGUAUGGGCCUCUCCCAUGAGGUCCGUGCCGAAGGAAUCUACUAAGUGCACCGCCUGGGGAGUAUGACCGCAAAGGUUAAA